UUCAUGAUUCAACUGCACUGGAUAGUUUUUCGAGCAAUAUAACCUGCCCGCCCUAGAUACAACGAUGCAGUUAGGUGGAAAACGCUAUUAGAUACUUCAUAUUGAAUAAGGUAUAAUAUAUAGAAUUAUCUCAUAGGAAACAAGCAUCUCAUGUAGUGCCAUGAAAUGAAUACAAAAAUGUUAUUAUACCAUAGACUAUAGAUAGUUAAUUCAAAUUAUUCAACCAUAAAUAAUAAUAAAACAAAAUGACAUACUUUUCAUGAUGGGUGAGAAGUUGGUAGGAAGGAUAAAUAUAGAGGGGACUUUAAUAUCUGUACGUAGCAAUUAAUCAUUAUCAACAUAAAACGAUUCUGAGCACAGUUCAAUUACGUAUAUUUUUGAAGUCCAUAAUAUUUAGGAUUUUUGUCAAAAUUAUUAACAUUAAAAUUCUUAUAAAAAGAAAAUUACUACAGAAAAUUGGUGUAUUAAAAACAACUAAUCGCUGUUCAAAAAUAGUGGAUGGUGGUAGGAGGGUGAAAAAUACUUUAAGGCCUAUUUUCAGACCUACCAAAUAUAUACAUAAAAUUUCAUGAAAAUUGGUCAAGUUAUUUUGGAGGAGGUCAGUAAAACUGGGACU